rnacentral:lncRNA from 1 species
AGGAAAACAAUGAUUAGAAUGACUGUAGAUUUCUCAUCAAAAAUAUGAAGAUCAAAAGAGUGAAAUAAAAACUGUAAGCACUGAAUGAAAAGAGCUGUCAACCCCCAAUUUUAUGUCCAGUGAAUAUAUCCAUCAGGAAAGAAGGCUAAAUAAAAGAGUCUUGCUCAGAUGAAGGUGUAAAACAACUAAAGUUUGCAGACCAAAACUAGAAAGGUGACUGGGCUAUGAGGGCAGCCAAUAUUUUGGCCCUGGCCCCCUCAAGGCCAACAAAGAUCUAGGACACAAAGGAACUUUUCCUGCAGGACCCUACAUCUUUGCUAUUUGCAAAUACCUGCAUAAUCUAAAGAGCAGAAGCUUACUGCUUGGAGCCCCCAAUGAAAAAAAGAAAGCUGUGAUUGGAUGUCAUUACUGCCAAUCAACUGGAGGAUAACAUAGGCUGUGACUUUUCAAGGGAGAGAUAAAAGGACCAGGUCACGACUUAGGUUGAAGAUGGCCUCCUUCUAAAGUGAACUCAGUUCCUAGGUUCAAAAGAAGAGCUCAAUCUACCCAGAAUCCCUGAACCUCAAGUCCAGAUGCUUGGGAGAAAGAACAGAUUACCUGGGGCUGUGGGAGUCCAAAGUGAACACGGGGCUGCUUAGAG